GCGGCGCGGGCGGUUUCCAAACGAAGACGAAGACCCUGACGUGUGGGUCCCACGCGUCAGUGGCAGCGGACGCGCGCACGCGAGUUGGUUCGGGCGCGGUCGGGCACGGUCGGUUUUCUGGGCCGUUUCGGCCCAAGCGGUCGGACCGGUCCGGUUCUCUCUUUUUUCUUUUCUUUUCCCCUUUUUCUCAUUUCUUUGAUAACUUUUGAUUUUGAACUCCAAAUAGGUCCACAUAAUUUCAGAAAAUUUGUAAAAUCAUGUUUUACCAUGAUUCAACUUUUGGGAGUGAUUUCCCCUCAAAAUAAAAUAUAUAAAAAUACAUUUGCCCUAUAAAUGCCUUUAGGGCUACAUAACUAUUUAAAGAAAAUACGUUUUCAACUCCAAAUAAUUUUCCAAAAAUUAUGGGAUAGCUUAUAUAUGCAAUAAACCCCUUUUAUAAAUAAACCUUAUUGGUUUGAAGAUCCAAAGCUCAAAUGAGUGAAAACCCUAGGGUUUAAAUUGAAAUAAAAUCUUUUAAAGGCUUUCGAG
rnacentral:lncRNA from 1 species